rnacentral:rRNA from 1 species
UACGUAGGGGGCAAGCGUUGUCCGGAAUCAUUGGGCGUAAAGCGCGCGCAGGCGGUCUGCCAAGUUCGGAGUGACAGUUUCCGGCUUAACCGGAAAAGGUCUUCGAAAACUGGUGGACUUGAGGACUUGAGAGGGAGACGGAAUUCCGGGUGGAGCGGUGAAAUGCGUAGAGAUCCGGAGGAACACCGAAAGCGAAGGCAGUCUCCUGGCAAGUUUCUGACGCUCAGGUGCGAAAGCUAGGGGAGCGAACAGG